GUGCCAGCCGCCGCGGUAAGACGGAGGUGGCAAACGUUGCUCGGAAUUACUGGGCUUAAAGGGCGUGUAGGCGGUCGACUAAGUCGGGUGUGAAAUACUCCGGCCCAACCGGGGAAUUGCAUUCGAUACUGGUCGGCUAGAGUGCGAGAGGGGCAAGUGGAACUCCAGGUGUAGCGGUGAAAUGCGUAGAUAUCUGGAGGAACGCCGGUGGCGAAAGCGACUUGCUGGCUCGUAACUGACGCUGAGGCGCGAAAGCCAGGGGAGCAAACGGGAUUAGAUACCCCCGUAGUCC
rnacentral:rRNA from 1 species